AGUUGUCAAGGAACUAUUUUUCUUGCCGUCGUCCCAGAGAUGCCUUUGGAAAAGCGGAAGGGCACGGAGGGUUCUGGAGUUCGUUGCUGGCACCUGCGUGGUGUCAUGAGAACGUGGCGGGGCGAUUCACACUACAAGGAAUACUAAAGGACGUUCUCCACAUUGAAGGAAAAUGAUCUAAAGAGAAACAGAUCUGUAAGAAGAAAUGAAGAGCACUGGUAAAGGUAAAUGUAAAAUUAUUUAAGACUAAACUAUAUGUUUAAGUCAACAAUAGUUGUGAUAAUUAUAACAUAAUAAAAGUAAAAUUACAUAACAAUGGCAUAAUGGGGGGCAUGGAAUUACCUAGCUUCACCUUCUGCAAUGUGUGGAAACAGACUGAGGUCCUCACCAGAAGCAAAUGCUAGCACCAUGCUUCUUGGAGACCCUGCAGAACUGUGAGUCAAAUAAACCUUUUUCUUUAUAAAUUACCCAGCCUCAGAUAUUCCUUCACAGCAACACAAAAGGACUAAGACAUUAUUGUAAGGUUUUAGACAUUUUACACAUUGUAUAAGAUGUGGUGAAAUACUAAUUCAAAGCACAGACAGUCCCUGAUUACAGUGGUUUGACUUACAGUUUUUCAACUUUACAAUGUGUUCAUUGGGAUGAUUAAAUGCAUUUUCAACUUAACAAUAUUUUCGGCUUACAAUGGGCGUAUCGGGACAUAACCCCAUCAUAAGUUGAGGAACAUCUGUAGAUUAUAAUAAAUUAAACAUGCACAUAGCGAUCUAGAAUAACUAUUAAAAGAAAAUGCAAACAUAGGUAUAAC
rnacentral:lncRNA from 1 species